rnacentral:rRNA from 1 species
AGUGAACGCUGGCGGUAGGCCUAACACAUGCAAGUCGAACGGCAGCACAGUAAGAGCUUGCUCUUACGGGUGGCGAGUGGCGGACGGGUGAGGAAUACAUCGGAAUCUACUUUUUCGUGGGGGAUAACGUAGGGAAACUUACGCUAAUACCGCAUACGACCUACGGGUGAAAGCAGGGGAUCUUCGGACCUUGCGCGAUUGAAUGAGCCGAUGUCGGAUUAGCUAGUUGGCGGGGUAAAGGCCCACCAAGGCGACGAUCCGUAGCUGGUCUGAGAGGAUGAUCAGCCACACUGGAACUGAGACACGGUCCAGACUCCUACGGGAGUCAGCAGUGGGGAAUAUUUGACAAUGGGUGCAAGCCUGAUCCAGCCAUACCGCGUGGGUGAAGAAGGCCUUCGGGUUGUAAAGCCCUUUUGUUGGGAAAGAAAAGCAGCAGGUUAAUCCCCCGCUGUUCUGCCGGUACCCAAAGAAUAAGCACCGGCUAACUUCGUG